rnacentral:rRNA from 1 species
GUGCACCAGGCGCGAAAACUUUACAAUGUGCGAAAGCACGAUAAGGGAACUCUGAGUGCCUCCUAAGGAGGCUGUUCAGGUGUCUAAAAAGCACCUGGAGUAAGGGCUGGGUAAGACCGGUGCCAGCCGCCGCGGUAACACCGGCAGCCCAGGUGGUAGCCACUUUUAUUGGGUCUAAAGCGUCCGUAGCCGGUUGAGUAAGUUCCUUGGGAAAUUUGGCUGCUCAACAGUCAAGCUUCCAGGGAAUACUGCUCGACUUGGGACUGGGAGAGGUCAGAGGUACUCCAGGGGUAGGGGUGAAAUCCAUUAAUCCCUGGGGGACCACCGGUAGCGAAGGCGUCUGACCAGACCAGGUCCGACGGUGAGGGACGAAGGCUA